CCUACGGGGGGCAGCAGUGAGGAAUAUUGGUCAAUGGGCGCGAGCCUGAACCAGCCAAGUAGCGUGAAGGAUGACUGCCCUCCGGGUUGUAACCUUCUUUUAUAAAGGAAUAAAGUGAGGCACGUGUGCCUUUUUGUAUGUACUUUAUGAAUAAGGAUCGGCUAACUCCGUGCCAGCAGCCGCGGUACUACGGAGGAUCCGAGCGUUAUCCGGAUUUAUUGGGUUGAAAGGGAGCGUAGAUGGGUUGUUAAGUCAGUUGUGAAAGUUUGCGGCUCAACCGUAAAAUUGCAAUUGAUACUGGCAGUCUUGAGUACAUGUGAGGUAGGCGGAAUUCGUGGUGUAGCGGUGAAAUGCUUAGAUAUCACGAAGAACUCCGAUGGCGAAGGCAGCUUACUAACCUGCCACUGACAUUGAUGCGCGAAAGUGUGGGUAUCAAACAGGAUUAGAUACCCGUGUAGUC
rnacentral:rRNA from 1 species